AAACACAACUCUCAGCAACGGAUAUCUUGGCUCUUGCAACGAUGAAGAACGCAGCGAAAUGCGAUACGUAGUUGUGAAUUGCAGAAUUCCGCGAAUCAUCGAAUCUUUGAACGCAAGUUGCGCCCGAGGCUUGUCCGAGGGCAUUUCCGCUAGAGCGUCA
rnacentral:rRNA from 1 species